UACGUAGGGUGCAAGCGUUGUCCGGAAUUAUUGGGCGUAAAGAGCUUGUAGGCGGUUUGUCGCGUCUGCUGUGAAAUUUCGGGGCUCAACCCCGAACUUGCAGUGGGUACGGGCAGACUAGAGUGUGGUAGGGGAGACUGGAAUUCCUGGUGUAGCGGUGAAAUGCGCAGAUAUCAGGAGGAACAUCCGUGGCGAAGGCGGCUCUCUGGGACGGUACUGACGCUGAGACGCGAAAGCGUGGGGAGCGAACAGG
rnacentral:rRNA from 1 species